UUUUUGUCAGUGCAUAUAUUCGUGAAGGGAGAGGGAGAUAGAGUGCGCACAACAUGGGAUUAGCAUUCAAGUAGAAUUUGUUGGCCGCUGUAGAGCAACAAAAUUAUGAAAAAUUAACAAAGUUAUAAAACUUUAUGAGGCCGUGAGAGAGGAGCGAGUUUAUUUGCUGUUGCGGCUGCUGCUGUUGUUGGUUUCACUGUACUUUUACGUGCAGCUGUUGUUGUUGCACUGAUUUUAUGUGGCUGCCGGUUUCAGCUUGGAAUUUUAAAUUUAGUGAACACAAAUUUGGUUUUCUUUUCGCACAUUUUUUUUUUUUUUUUGGUUUUUGCGUAUGUUUGUUUGGCAACGGAGGGAAUUGCAAAGUUUUCUCGUUUUUAAUUUAGGCAAUGCAGAAAAGUUUUGGGUGCGCGCACAGGGGGCCAUGGAAAAAUACUCCAAUCUGAAUUAGAUUUUGCGAAGCGAGCGAGCGUAUCGGCAGUCGGCUGAAAUUGGUUUGAUGACACACAGAGAGCCAUAUAUCAUGUCCAGUUUCUGAUCAAAGGCUGCUGACUGACGGACCCAACCAAACCAACAACAAUUCAAUUUCAAUGCAUUAUCUCUGGCAACUUCGGUCCGUUAAGCAGCCACAACUGCGCGCGCUUAACCUUUUUCGGGAACCGCAAAAGUUUCAUUUCAAUUUUAAACAAAUUUCGUGGCCACAUCAAAGCGGCUGAAAAGCAAACCGAAACCGAACCGAAACCGAAAGAGGCCCACGCCACAAAAGGCCCCUGAGAGUUGGCGCUGAGUGAUUUCAAUUGACUAAGAAAACAAAUUCCCCCGAUAACUUGCCUAAUGCGUUCCGACAAAAGCGCAACUCCCCGGGAAAUGCGAGGGGGGGGCCAAAAACCAAGGGGCAAAGAAAAUUAUGCAAAAGGAAAAGUCUCAAGAUGGCGACGUCUUUCGCAGAGUUUUUCCACCCCCCCACCCAAACUCCUCCUGUUUUCCAGGAUCAAUCCACAAUCAGACUAAGAGAGAGAGAGAGAGUCAAAGUCGAGCAAGUCAACAAGAAUUAUGCACUUUUUGACUGUCAAUAAAAAUAAAGUGAGUUCGAGUCGCAGUUUGUCCUGGAGUUAUGCACACAGGCAAAGGAACGACGACGAAUUGCCAAAGGACAUGGACAUACAAUUCAAAGUGGGUAGAAAUCAAUGCGCCAGCACAAAAAUAUAUUCAGCGUAUAAUUUAAUAAAGCAAAUAGAAGAAAGCCACAAAGCGAAAAUCGCUGAAGAAAUCCAAA